GAUAUACUCCCUCCGUUCCAAAAUACUUGACUUCCAUUUGUCCAAAAAUGGAUGUACCUAUAUACUAAAACAUGUCUAGAUACAUCUAUAUUUUGACAAAUGAAAGGCAUGUAUUGUGGAACGGAGGGAGUAUUUA
rnacentral:pre_miRNA from 1 species